rnacentral:rRNA from 1 species
CCUACGGGAGGCAGCAGUGGGGAAUAUUGGGCAAUGGAGGAAACUCUGACCCAGCGACGCCGCGUGCGGGAUGAAGGCCUUCGGGUUGUAAACCGCUUUCAGUAGGGAAGAAGCGAAAGUGACGGUACCUACAAAAGAAGCACCGGCUAACUAUGUGCCAGCAGCCGCGGUAAUACAUAGGGUGCAAGCGUUGUCCGGAAUUAUUGGGCGUAAAGAGCUCGUAGGUCGUUUGUUACGUCGGAUGUGAAAACCUGAGGCUCAACCUCAGGCCUGCAUUCGAUACGGGCAAACUAGAGUUUGGUAGGGGAGACUGGAAUUCCUGGUGUAGCGGUGGAAUGCGCAGAUAUCAGGAGGAACACCAAUGGCGAAGGCAGGUCUCUGGGCCAAUACUGACACUGAGGAGCGAAAGUCUGGGGAGCGAACAGGAUUAGAUACCCUGGUAGUCCAGACCGUAAACGGUGGGCACUAGUUGUGGGAACCUUCCACGGUUUCUGCGACGCAGCUAACGCAUUAAGUGCCCCGCCUGGGGAGUACGGGAUCGCAAGAUUAAAACUCAAAGGAAUUGACGG